GACGGGGGAUGCGAGCGUUAUCCGGAAUGAUUGGGCGUAAAGGGUCCGCAGGUGGCCCGGUCAGUCCGCUGUCAAAGCCUGGGGCUCAACCCUGGAGAGGCGGCGGAGACCACCGGGCUUGAGUCCGGUAGGGGCAGAGGGAAUUCCCGGUGGAGCGGUGAAAUGCGCAGAUAUCAGGAGGAACACCGGUGGCGAAGGCGGGUCUCUGGGCCGAUACUGACGCUGAGGAGCGAAAGCGUGGGGAGCGAACAGG
rnacentral:rRNA from 1 species